CCUAAACCGAAAGCAGGGCCACCCCGGGACAAUUUCAUCUUUACUGCAGGUCUUUUCAUUCUCUACAUUAAAAGAAACAGAUCUGUACACAUGCAUGCAGGAUGAUAAAGUACUUGUAUGUAGUUAACAAUAGAGGUGAACUUAGGUUGGUCAGGUACUACAAACAUUAUAGUGCAGAAGAGAGACAGCAACUACAGACCGAUGUUAUCAAACUUUGUCUAACAAGAGGACAAGAUCAGAGCACUAUAUUAGAUUACGAGGAUUAUACAGUUGUGUUCCAGAAGUUCAGUAACACUGUUUUUAUUGCUGGAAUAACACAGGAUGAGAAUGAGUUAGCUAUCCUUGGAUUGUUUCGACAUAUUUGUGAAACAUUGAACAAGUAUUUAGGAAGUUUGACAGAGCUACAUUUUAUUUUCAACCUGGAUAAAGUGCAUAUGGUUUUAGAUGAGAUGAUAUUGAAUGGUUACAUUGCCGAGACCAGUCAAGCAAGAAUUCUAGCGCCGUUACAACUGCUGACGUCUGCAAAGAAAUGAUUAGAAAGAUAACAAUGCAUGUGCAGGAACCAAUUCAGAAACAAGAAUAUCACAAUACAAAUCUAUGAAGAUAGAAAAAGAGGUUAUUUUUAGAUGUCACCUUUGAUGUCAGUUGGCAUUCAACAAGACGGGACUAAGCUUAGGACAAGUACUGAUAACACAAGUCAAAGUACAGCUGUUCAACACACCGUUUGAUAGAACUUGUACACAGAUUAUUAUAUUUUGUAAAACUAUUAAUAACAAUAAAGCUA
rnacentral:misc_RNA from 1 species